CCAUUGUUUUGUUUAUUCUGGGUUUGAUUCUGCCAUGCCUGCUAGCCUGAUCACUGCAGGUCUUUAUUUAUGUCUUUUGCCUUGUGAUCUGGGUAUUAUAAUCUUUAUUAAAGCUUCAAUUGCAUCCUGCCUAACUCUCAUUAUGGGACAGGUAUCACCAUAUUCUAGUAAUAUUGACGUUUAACAGCAAAAUCCACCCUGAGAAAUCUGAGAAGGGUUACAAAGCUAUUUCAAAGGCUCUGGGACUCCAAAGAACCACAGUGAGAGCUGUUAUCUCCAACCGGAACAAUUCAGCACAGUAGUGAACCUUCCCAGAAGUGGCCGACCCAGAAAGAGUGUCUUAUUACACAGUUGAGGGUAAAUCAAACCUGCAAAUUAAAUACUACAUUAAAUCCUAAUGUCAGUGCGAAACUGUCCACAUUUCCUUAUGUCCAGCAGUCAGAGAGCCUGUGCUGGGAUUUGGAGUCAACACUUCUGUUACUCAGCUAGUGCAGCCUUCAGAUGUUGGCAUGAAGCAGCAGUUGCACGUCACAGCCGAUGAAAAUUAGACUCCACAAACUCAGUGGCUCUUUUUCUAGAAGUUAUAAAAGCAAGGCAGACUGG
ensembl:lncRNA